GAUGAACGCUGGCGGCGUGCCUAAUACAUGCAAGUCGAACGAACUAAUUUAUUAGUGAGUGGCGAACGGGUGAGUAAUACAUAAGUAACCUGCCCUAGACAGGGGGAUAACUACUGGAAACGGUAGCUAAAACCGCAUAGGUAUGGGAAUCGCAUGAUUGCCAUAUUAAAAGUGCUAAGGCACUGGUAGAGGAUGGACUUAUGGCGCAUUAGCUAGUUGGUAGGGUAAAGGCUUACCAAGGCUACGAUGCGUAGCCGACCUGAGAGGGUUACCGGCCACACUGGGACUGAGACACGGCCCAGACUCCUACGGGAGGCAGCAGUGGGGGAUAUUGCACAAUGGGGGAAACCCUGAUGCAGCGACGCCGCGUGGGUGAAGACGGCCUUCGGGUUGUAAAGCUCUGUUGACGGGGACGAUAAUGACGGUACCCGUUCAGAAAGCCACGACUAACUACGUGCCAGCCGCCGCAGUAAGAC
rnacentral:rRNA from 1 species